rnacentral:rRNA from 1 species
UGGGGAAUUUUGGACAAUGGGGGAAACCCUGAUCCAGCCAUCCCGCGUGUGCGAUGAAGGCCUUCGGGUUGUAAAGCACUUUUGGCAGGAAAGAAACGUCAUGGGUUAAUACCCCGUGAAACUGACGGUACCUGCAGAAUAAGCACCGGCUAACUACGUGCCAGCAGCCGCGGUAAUACGUAGGGUGCAAGCGUUAAUCGGAAUUACUGGGCGUAAAGCGUGCGCAGGCGGUUCGGAAAGAAAGAUGUGAAAUCCCAGAGCUCAACUUUGGAACUGCAUUUAUAACUACCGGACUAGAGUGUGUCAGAGGGAGGUGGAAUUCCGCGUGUAGCAGUGAAAUGCGUAGAUAUGCGGAGGAACACCGAUGGCGAAGGCAGCCUCCUGGGAUAACACUGACGCUCAUGCACGAAAGCGUGGGGAGCAAACAGG